GGCCACGACCACGCGGGCGCGGCGAUCGCCGCCGGCGCGGUGGCGGUGCUGGCCGCCCGGCCGGUCGGCGUUCCCGCCGUCGUCGUGGCCCCC
rnacentral:tRNA from 1 species